rnacentral:siRNA from 1 species
GGGUGGUGAGGUUGUGAAUUCG